UACGUAGGGGGCAAGCGUUGUCCGGAAUCAUUGGGCGUAAAGAGCGCGUAGGCGGCCCGAUAAGUCCGCUGUGAAAGUCAAGGGCUUAACCCUUGAAUGCCGGUGGAAACUAUCGGGCUAGAGUCCGGAAGAGGCGAGUGGAAUUCCACGUGUAGCGGUGAAAUGCGUAGAGAUGUGGAGGAACACCGAUGGCGAAGGCAGCCUCCUGGGCCAACACUGACGCUCAUGCACGAAAGCGUGGGGAGCAAACAGG
rnacentral:rRNA from 1 species